rnacentral:snRNA from 1 species
CCGGGCGUCGGCCUGUGG